CAAGAACCAUUGAAGAAAUGGUAUGAGCAAAAAGAUUGGCGAUAUAGUGGAAUUCAUGCCUUGGCUACAGCGGGGAAUGGAUAUCUAUACACUGGAAGUGGAGAUAGGUCAAUUAAAGCAUGGUCAUUGCAAGAUGGCAUUCUAUCAAGCGCUAUGGAUGGUCAUAAAUCAGUAGUUUCCACAUUGGCAGCAUGUGAUGGAAUUCUCUAUAGUGGGAGUUGGGAUGGGACCAUUCGACUGUGGAGUCUAAGUGAUCAUAGUCUUUUGACAGUGUUAGGCGAAGAUGUGCCAGGAACUGUGACCUCUGUCU
rnacentral:misc_RNA from 1 species